rnacentral:rRNA from 1 species
AAAACAUUUUCUUUAGGUUUUAUUAAAGAUAAGGCCUGCUCAAUGAGAAUUUAAAUGGCCGCAGUAUAGUGACUGUGCUAAGGUAGCAUAAUAAUUUGCCUUUUAAUUGGGGGCUGGAAUGAAAGGUUUUAUGGAAAAUAGCUGUUUUAAAAUAAGUAAUUGAACUUAAGUUUUGCAUAAAAACUUGCAAACGCCCUUAAGGGACGAGAAGACCCUGUGGAUUUUUAUUUGUUAGAGAAUAAAUUUUAUAAUAUUUUAUUUUUUGUUCAAAUUUGGUUGGGAUGACAAUAAAAUUAACUUUAUUAAAAAAAAUAAUGUGGAUCCUUUUUAAGGGAAAAAGAACAAAUUACCCCAGGGAUAACAGCGUAAUACUUUUGGACAGGACAAAUGGAUAAUAGUGUUUGCGACCUCGAUGUUGAAUUAAAAUGUCUUUAUUAAGCAUAAAUAAUAAAAGUAAGUCUGUUCGACUUUUGAAAUUUUACAUGAUUUA